rnacentral:misc_RNA from 1 species
CCAAUAGCGUAUAUUAAAGUUGUUGCAGUUAAAAAGCUCGUAGUUGAAUUUCGGAGUUUGUCGGUUGGUCGGGCUUCACUGUCCGCACUGACCUGAUGGAUUCCUACCUUCUGAAUAACCAGCAUGCUAUUAAGUUAGUGCGUUGGGGAAGCAGAGCUAUUACCUUGAAAAAAUUAGAGUGCUUAAAGCAGGCUUAUGCUUGAAUAGAUUAGCAUGGAAUAAUAAAAUAGGACGGCAUGUUUAUAUUUUGUUGGUUUCUAGGAUCACCGUAAUGAUUAAUAGGGAUAGUUGGGGGCAUUAGUAUUCAAUUGUCAGAGGUGAAAUUCUUGGAUUUAUUGAAGACUAACUUCUGCGAAAGCAUUUGCCAAGGAUGUUUUCAUUAAUCAAGAACGAAAGUUAGGGGAUCGAAGACGAUCAGAUACCGUCGUAGUCUUAACCAUAAACUAUGCCGACUAGGGAUCGGACGAUGUUAAUUUUUUAAUGACUCGUUCGGCGCCUUACG